GACGAACGCUGGCGGCGUGCUUAACACAUGCAAGUCGAACGGAAAGGCCCUGCUUUUGUGGGGUGCUCGAGUGGCGAACGGGUGAGUAACACGUGAGUAACCUGCCCUUGACUUUGGGAUAACUUCAGGAAACUGGGGCUAAUACCGGAUAGGAGCUCCUGCUGCAUGGUGGGGGUUGGAAAGUUUUGGCGGCUGGGGAUGGACUCGCGGCUUAUCAGCUUGUUGGUGGGGUAGUGGCUUACCAAGGCUUUGACGGGUAGCCGGCCUGAGAGGGUGGCCGGCCACAUUGGGACUGAGGUGCGGCCCAGACUCCUACGGGAGGCAGCAGUGGGGAAUAUUGCACAAUGGGCGGAGGCAUGAUGCAGCAACGCCGCGUGCGGGAUGACGGCCUUCGGGUUGUAAACCGCUUUCGCCUGUAACGAAGCGUGAGUGACGGUAAUGGGUAAAGAAGCACCGGCUAACUACGUG
rnacentral:rRNA from 1 species